UAAAGAAACACUGCUCUACUUUAUGGCCU
rnacentral:sRNA from 1 species